rnacentral:lncRNA from 10 species
GCAAGAAGUUAGAGAAGGCAGCCAGGGGCCUCUCUUUUGCUCUGCUUCCAGUCAACUUCUGCAGUCUUUAUAAAAACACCUUUAUGCUGAGCUCCUCUCAUGGGCCAGGUAGUCUGCUGGGCUCUGGGAAAAUAGCUAGAGAUAAGAUAGACAAGAUUCCUGCUCUCAUGGUGCUUACAUUCUAAUGAGGAGGACUUUCUGAUAAAUUUAAAAUGGCAGUUUUGCCAGGUGCAGUAACUCACACCUUUAAUCCUAGCACUUUUGUUCCCAGACCAAAUGGAGGGUGGAGCUGCUUAUUCUCAUGGCCCAGUAACAAGGUGCAGAUGAACUGGGAAAGGAGGGAGUUUUUAUUUCUGAAACUGGUUACAGAGAGAAGGCUUGGAAAAUAUCACCCAACCAGCUCAAAAUUACGAAGUUUUGCAGAGCUUAUAUACCUUCUAAGCUAUAUGUCUACGUGUCAGCGUGCGUUCAUCUAAAGACCCUGUUUUACAGCCUCCUGCCCUUCAGCCUGUUUUUCCCCAAACUCCAUGUGGAAUGCGGUCACCUUGUUAGUUGGAACCAGCUCCUGACAGAUCCUGGCAAUUUAUAGAUGAGCCCAAGUGAACAUUCCUCAUGACCAUGCUGAAGUUUCCACUCCAGGAGGAGCCACAGCUUCACUACCAUAACAUACAACCUAUGUGCUGGCAGAAUGACUCACUGCCUCUGCAUCACUGGGACCCCUUCUCUACAUGCAACAAUGUGCCCUCUCUCCUAUCCAUCACUCCAUUAAACCCUCCUGCCAUUUUCCCUCAGGGAAAUGCUGCUUUGGAAAAUACUCCCAGGGUUCUCACUUGCACCAAGUAAUAAAACUCUUACUGAUGAUUGAUGAAAACCUGUGUUCUCGUGGAGAGUCUUUUGUUACUUGCCAGGUGAGUGAACUCCAGUUUUUUGUUUUUGUGUUUUUCUUUUUUCUGGGUGACAUAGGCUUUGCUGUUAUCCUCAUUUAGCAGAUGAAGAAACUCAGACUUGGAAAGAUUAAGUCAUGUAUUAUCCCAUGGCAAUAAGCAACAGAACUAUGACUUGCCCUUAGAUCUGCAAGAGCUUACUCUUGGCAUAUAGCCCACAUCUAGCAGGGGCUCAAAAAAGGUAUGUUGAACUGGACACAAUGUGCUUCACCAGCUCUCAGCUGGGUGACCCCUUUGUAGAGAUGCUGAAUAUCUUCCCUGAAUAUGGUAUUGUCUCCCUUGAGGAUGCCAAUUCUUCAAAUGGCUUGACAAACUCACGUGGGUGUGCCAGAAGGCUAGCUGCUCAGACCUCCCCAUGGAGGUGUAAAUAUUUUAGUCAGUGGCAGGAAUAGUACUAUGAAUAGUCUUAUACCCAUGAAUAAUGCAAUCCCCUUCCUUUUCUCAACCAAAUGACUUUAGGACAUAUGGGGCCGAGAACAUGAUGCAGAUAUGAGGCUGGAUUAUGUACAUCAUUAGCCCACCUCCUAUGGUGAUGGAAUUUGUCACCCCCACAAGCGCUUUUCCAUUUGCUUUCAGAGGCUCAUCCUUGGUCUUACAUGAUGGAUUUGCUUUUCAGUUAUGGAGGACAGUGCCCUGGACUGGGCAUACUUCUCAGGGUAAACCUUGUUUCUUAAUGUGACUUCUUUUAAUGUUUUUACAUUGGAAGGGGGCCAGGGCUGGAUUUUUUUUCUUUCAGGGACCACAGGUUCUGACUUCAGGAGCCCAAGGAGAGCUCCUCCUGCCAGCAGCAGUAUUGUUCUUGGCCAAAUUUGGGUCUAGUGGAGAGUUUGAGAGAAGUUUGCAGAAUGGAUGGGGCAGAACAUGGGGGCCCAAGGCCCUUAGUACAGAGUGUUGGGGCUGGUAGCUGAGUAAUGAAAAGGCAUAGGUGGUGAGAUGGGAAGCCAACUCCUUAUUUUUAUAAUUAAAAAGUAUAUAAUUUAAAAUUAUAAAAGUAUGCUUAUUUUUACCUAUCUUGACUCUCCCUGCCACAUCUUUAUACUGUGGAUUUGAUUGCAAAAUGUGGCAUCUCUUAAUGUAAGAACCACAAUAAUAUCUUGCACAGAUUCCAUUCCCACUGAUCAUCUGGAAUGGUCUUCAUGGAAGCCCUGAGGUAAGCAGGGAUGGGGUGCUGACCUUGAUCCACAGGAGAUGAGGAUUCUGAGAGUCAGGGAAGUUAGGGGGCUUGCCCGAGGCUCUGCAGCAAGCAAAUAAUAGACAAGUGUUCAAAGGGAAGUGCUUGGACUCCCAGUUCAAUAUUGCUCAUUUUUUCUUUAAAAAGGUGAGUACAGGUGUGGAUGUUCCCCCCUCCCCCAACCCUGCCUCCUGCUUUAUGAGCUCUCUGCAACUGGCACCAGGUGCCCACACUAACUCACCUCACCCUCUUUCCUGUUCUGCCCCCAAGCCUCAGUCUGGGAUUUUGAAGCUGUUGUGUUGCCUCCAUUCCAGAAAGCUUGGCCCACCAGCCCCAAGAUAGCAAGCUUGGUUGAAUCUUCCUCAAGGAGAAACACUUCCCCUCCAUGUUCUGAUCUGCAGAGUGGUGGAUGCUGCUUUUCUGCAGGCACAAUGGACAGAAAUGUAGGAUACUUGAUGAGCACCUCUUGAUAAAAGUGAGAGCUCCACUUGGAAAACAGAGUGAUGAGGAGGAUUCAGAUCUGCUUACUCUGAUCCAAUUCCACUGAGGAAGCUGUUGUGGCAGGGAGAUAGCCUGCAACUGAGGUGCCCAGGUAAGAUUCUAGCCAGAUUCCAAACUCAGAAAUAUUCAGUCCUCCUACAUUCUGGGGGAAGAAUUGGCUGAAACUUCAAGAAAAUUCUUUCAUUUGACGAUUUGACACUUGGAGUCUCUUGGUUUUGGGUAGAGCUUGAAAUCUCUGACUCAAUAAACUGGAAGCCUGAAAAGAGGAAAACGUACCAUUCUUCUAUACUUAUUAGAAGUUGACCCAAAGUUAGUACCUGAAGCCACUUAAAGGUGACUAAGGAUUCACUCUGAAGAUGAAAGUGACUGAAAUGAUGAGCUGGUACAGACCCACGCAGUCCUGGAAAAAGGAAAUGGGGCAGCUGAGAAGCAGCAGCCCUGGAAGAAAGAAAGAUCAAAACACACUUCAUGGAGAGCCGCAGGAAACACUGAUGACAUCAGAUCCUAGGAGCCCUCUCGACAUUUCCCAGCGGUCUUGAAGCCAAUACAUAGCAUCCUCUUGGAAGCGAACCUUUUGAGAACAUCAGAAUGAAAAGAACACAAGAACACGAGUGUCCUCUAUGCUGAGGACACAGAAAGGCUUUAGGGAGAGCCAGGAUACAGCACUUAAACCAAGAUGGCCAUUCUGGUGCAUGCACAGAGAGCAAUGGCAGCUUAGGUUGGGGGUAGCGGGUGGGGCAUGGGAUGAGAUUUGGGUUCUACUUCAGUUCUAGGUGCUAUGAAGUCUUAGAAUGAUUUCUUUUUAAAUAACUGUCUAGCAAGGACUGGUUUAGGGGGAACUCCCAUGGUCUCCUCCUUGGAGGUGAAGUAAAACAAGAAAAAGUCAAGCCCUAGAGAAUUCACAUAUAUUUAACUCAUCUGAUCCACUGGGAAACCCUUGAUCAAUUCUGUAAUCUUGCUACCAUAGAACUUCAAUGACAGUGUCAGCUGCUUCAAAACCCUUAGUGACAUUUCCUGGAAACAGACUUCAUUCUGUGUUCAGCUUUCACUUGACACAUUUCAGGCCUGAUGAUUUUAAAUGAGGGAGAAAAAAAACGUUGUUAAAUAUUACUGCAAAAUUUUACUUGGCUUAAUGGCCAAUAAAAUAACACAGUGUGUUCAGGUGGCUCAGCCUUCCGGUUUGACCAUCUGGCCUGAUGAAUAUGCCCAAUUUCUCUUAUCUUUUGCUGGCUUUCCCUCCAUUGCCUAUUUGAGUUCUUGGUCCUCAGCAUAAUUGGCUCCUGAGACCUUCUUAAAGGGCAUGUCCUGACACAGAUCUAACAAUACUUUAAUAAGGUUUAAAAAGAGUUUAAUAGAGUUUAAUAAAGAAAACCCAUGAUAGAAGAAACUCCAGUCAGUCAAGAGUGCCAGCCUUCCUCGCGUGGCUUAAAAAUACACCUUAAGAACAUUGGUAUUUCUUAUUCAAACAAAAUGCUCAAAGGGAAUAGCCACUCAUUCCUUCUCCUACAACAUUCUGGAUUUAGCAUUUAGGAAGGAGCAGGGACCUUUCAAGAAAGAGAGGCCUGAACCAUUUAAAAAUCGAGAAAAAGUUGCAGAAAUGGUAAGUCUGGCCUGCUUAGACUGAUGGAAUCUUAGAAUUUCCACAGAAGACUGACAACUGAAAAGACAAUGAGUCACACUAUCUAGAACAUUUCUAGACCAUCUUGCCCCACAGGACAAGGCAAACAAAUAUAGAAACACGGUCACCUUGUGAGUUCAAGCCAAAAAUACUUCCCAAUUUUCCCAUGAUAAAAACACUUUCCCAUUUAAUUUUAUGACAUUUUAGAGUUUAUGUAAAAACAAUCUGAAGAAGUAGAUUUAGCAUACGCAUAACAAUUUUUUAUCUUCACUUGGCUAUGGUAAAGUAAUUGUUAAGAGUAAUUGUUACAAAACCGUUUUCAGGCAUUGAAUAACAGGCAGGGAAGACCACAAUAGCUAAGAUCAAGGAAACUCACAAGGAGAGCCCCAAGAUCACCCAGCUUUCUUCCUGGGUACAAUUUUUUUGACGUCAACCUAGUGAGCUGGAGUCCAGGCAGAGUGCAGGUGUCCCACCAAGCAAAAGAGGCAGAGGUCAGAAUUCAGGGCAGCUAAAAGAGCCGGAUUCUAUAUGGUAAGGCAUCAGAGGCAGAAAGCUGAACAUGGGGUGUAUGAGAGUUCCUUGAUAUUACUAGUUGAGGGUUACGCUUUGCAGAUUACAUGGAAAAGCUUAGGAGAAAGUGGCUGUUAAUAGUAUUGAGAAUGCAAAAGAGUUUAUAGACACAAAUCAGUGCUGAGGGGCAUUGGUGGUCCAGUCCAGUUAAAGUGGAAAGAGCUCAUUAACACUCCAGCAUCUAGUUAAGACAUCAGAAAGUACUUACUUUAAAAGAAAGCGCCACACUUUUAGAGAACGACCUAUUCUAGACCCACCCAACAGAGUCUAAAAUAAAAAGACUGAAGCAAAAUUAACAGAGCAUCAGGAACUUCUGGGAGAAUAUUGGGAACCCUAUUAAACAUGUAAUUAGAGGCUCAGAAGGAGAAAAGAGCAAGAAAGCAGCAGAAAAAGUACUUAGAAAUUAAUGGCCAAAUAUUUCCUAUAUUUGAUAAUAAACACUGACUUAUAGAUGCAAGUGCUCUGUGAAUCCACAACAGGAUAAAUGCAAAGAAAACCACACCCAGGCAAAUCAGACUCAAACAGCUAAAAUUCAAAAUUAAACGAAAUAUCUUGAAAGUGGAUAAAGCACAGUACAUACAGGGAAACUAAGGAUGAUAGCUUCUAUUGAAACUAAGGAGAAAUAUGAGAAAGUAUCCUUUAUAGAGAAAUAUGAGAAAGUAUCCUUUAUAAACAUAAAAAUGAAAACUGAAAAAUGCAUUACCAUAAGACCUGAAUUAUAACAAAGGCUAAAUGUUACUUUUCAGGCUGAAAGGAUCUAAUACCAGAUGGAAACUUGGCUAUGUGGGAAGGAAAAAAGACCACUGGAAGUGGUAAAUAAUUAGAUAAAUAUAUGACAGUUUUUUCCUCAUAUUCUGAAAAGACAUCUGACUUUUUUAAGGAAAAAUUAUAACACUAAUUUGAUGCUCACAGUAUAUU